AACAUGGUAGUUUAUUAAAAAUAUUGAGUUUGCGUCUCGAUGAUAGGUAUAUACCUCUGUGUUG
rnacentral:tRNA from 1 species